rnacentral:tRNA from 1 species
GCCUGGGUGGCUCAGUCGGUUGAGCGUCCGACUUCAGCUCGGGUCAUGAUCUCGCAGUCUGUGAGUUCGAGCCCCACGUCGGGCU